GAUGAACGCUGGCGGCGUGCCUAAUACAUGCAAGUCGAGCGAACGGACGAGAGGCUUGCUUUUCUGAUGUUAGCGGCGGACGGGUGAGUAACACGUGGAUAACCUACCUAUAAGACUGGGAUAACUUCGGGAAACCGGAGCUAAUACCGGAUAAUAUUUUGAACCGCAUGGUUCAAAAGUGAAAGACGGUCCUGCUGUCACUUAUAGAUGGAUCCGCGCUGCAUUAGCUAGUUGGUAAGGUAACGGCUUACCAAGGCAACGAUGCAUAGCCGACCUGAGAGGGUGAUCGGCCACACUGGAACUGAGACACGGUCCAGACUCCUACGGGAGGCAGCAGUAGGGAAUCUUCCGCAAUGGGCGAAAGCCUGACGGAGCAACGCCGCGUGAGUGAUGAAGGUCUUCGGAUCGUAAAACUCUGUUAUUAGGGAAGAACAUAUGUGUAAGUAACUGUGCACAUCUUGACGGUACCUAAUCAGAAAGCCACGGCUAACUACGUG
rnacentral:rRNA from 1 species